ACUGGGCAGGAGGCCGGGGAGCAAUCCCAGAAGACUUCAGGAGAAGACUUUCAGACCGUGUGCUGGGAGAACACAAGUCCACUUUCCUGUUUACUGUCAGAGACUUCACUGUCACCUCUUGUGGCUGUUCCCCACCCCCAACAGAACCUCUCCAAUGGAUUCCUAAUAUUCAGUUUGGAACCCUCAUCCAGUGGCUGACGGAAGCAGAGACAGACACCCACAACUAAAAAC